GCUUCCAUAGCUUAUCCAAAAGCAUGGCACUGAAGAUGCCAAGAUGGUACCCACCUACCUGGAGGC
rnacentral:tRNA from 1 species